UAUCAAGAGAGCCAGGAUGCUAUGCGGCUCCGGGAGGUGGGUGGGGCCAGCAUUAGUACUUCCGGUUUGGCUUCGGCCGCCCCUCAACUCCUCUCCUUCCCCCCCCUCCGCCUCCUCGUCUCCCUCCCGCUCCUGGGAAAGCGGAUCCGUCGCUUUAAGGGUGGCUGAGAGAAGCGGCGUCUCGGGGAGGGGACCGCGCCCGCCCCCUUGGAACCACGGAGCGUGGCCGAUACAGGGUUUUAUGCUGGCCUCUAACUUGAUAGAGGAGGAAGACCUUGAACUUAUGAUCCUGCCUAUACCUCCCAAGUGCUGGGCCUACAGAUUCCUGAAAUCUGUUGCUUAAAGCUGCAAGACUACCAGUCGUCAAAAGCAUCAGAGUUCUUGAGAAGGAUAAGAUUUUACCUGAAUCAGUGAUUAAAGAAUAACAGAGACUUGCCAGAAGGCUGCAUGGACAGCCAUCCCCAAGGUUCUCCAUCCAUAGUAGCGGGCUGCAGAACAACUGCCUUCUUGCUGAUAGCAUGUGACCUGUGGAUUACAGACUAUAGGAAGACUCUCGCCUGCCAUUGGCUCAAGCAACGCGGGGAAAGUCGAUUCCACUGUCCUCUUGUCCAAG
rnacentral:lncRNA from 1 species